AAUGAACGUUGGCGGCGUGGAUUAGGCAUGCAAGUCGUACGCAUAGCUUCGGCUAUGAGUGGCGCAAGGGUGAGUAAUGCGAAGGGUAACCAACCCUGGUGUUGGGCAUAGCCGCGGGAAACUGCGGGUUAUUCCCAGCGACGUCACGAGAUGGCAUCAUCUUGUGACCAAAAGGUGUGAUUCCGCUCUAGGACGGGCCUUCGUGGUAUUAGGUAGUUGGUGAGGUAACGGCUCACCAAGCCGACGAUGCCUACCGGGUGUGAGAGCAUGACCCGGCACACUGGAACUGAGACACUGUCCAGACACCUACGGGUGGCUGCAGUCGAGAAUCUUCGGCAAUGGGCGAAAGCCUGACCGAGCGACGCCGCGUGAGGGAUUGGAAGGCCUUCGGGUU
rnacentral:rRNA from 1 species